GAGUCUACUGCAAUAAAACUUACAUAUUUUUUUAUCUCUGUAUUUUUCCGUUCACUAUUUUAGGAUGGUGUUUUACUGUGGGUAACUGAAAUCAAAGAAAAGAGGAACUGGAUUGAGGCAGACUGGUGUGUGUUAUUUCUCACGGGUACCAGUGCGUUUCUAGUUUCAGUCUCUUACUUGAAGAAAGUGAAGAAUAGACAAGAACGAAGAAGAAUGGAGACGCAGAGUGGUGCAGAGACACAGGCAAUAAGACCUGUGCCAUGAGAGAAACUUCAUAAGAGAAUAACCCAAUGACCAGCUAAAUGUGAAGACAUACACCAAUAAAAAUGUUGGCUAUGGAUCAAGGAGAGCCAAUGAGAGGAUGUUCGGCGGAUUACAGUCAUCAGACAAGGAAAGGGCCAGACAGCCUGGACUGCGAGGGGAAGCAGAAAGCAAAGGAUCCACACACAACUGAUCCCAAGGGAAGAAAGGGGGUUAAUUGUGGCUUAAGAGAUCUGAAUGAACUGUAAUGGAGUACUUCAUUGUGGUACAGCUACAAGGAGCAGGAAGGGAAUUUAGUAACAGAUCGUGCAAGUCAACUGGGACUCCCCUCUCUGGGAUAUUUUUCAAAUGGAAUUAAGAAGCACUUGUUUCUGACUAAUUAACUUUAAUUCACCUUGGGGGUUGAGUUAGUGAAAGAGGAGGACGGAGGACGACAGCGGCAACGUUUAGAGUCACAGCCAGGUGCAUUGGUUCAAAAGAAAAUAAAACCCGAAGCAAUGAU